rnacentral:rRNA from 1 species
GAUGAACGCUGGCGGCGUGCCUAAUACAUGCGAGUCGAGCGAACAGACGAGAGUGCUUGCACUCUCUGACGUUAGCGGCGGACGGGUGAGUAACACGUGGGUAACCUACCUAUAAGACUGGGAUAACUUCGGGAAACCGGAGCUAAUACCGGAUAAUAUUUAGCUUCGCAUGGAGCAAUAGUGAAAGACGGUUCUGCUGUCACUUAUAGAUGGACCCGCGGUGUAUUAGCUAGUUGGUGAGGUAACGGCUCACCAAGGCAACGAUACAUAGCCGACCUGAGAGGGUGAUCGGCCACACUGGGACUGAGACACGGCCCAGACUCCUACGGGAGGCAGCAGUAGGGAUCUUCCGCAAUGGACGAAAGUCUGACGGAGCAAUGCCGCGUGAGUGAAGAAGGUUUUCGGAUCGUAAAACUCUGUUGUAAGGGAAGAACAAGUACGUUAGUAACUGAACGUACCUUGACGGUACCUUACCAGAAAGCCACGGCUAACUACGUG